rnacentral:snRNA from 1 species
CACCUUAAAGGUAAUUUUGUCCA